UCCAGACUCCUACGGGAGGCAGCAGUGGGGGAUAUUGCACAAUGGGGGGAACCCUGAUGCAGCGACGCCGCGUGGGUGAAGGAGCGUUUCGGCGCGUAAAGCCCUAUCGGCAGGGAAGAAGGAGGACGGUACCUGACUAAGAAGCCCCGGCUAACUACGUGCCAGCAGCCGCGGUAAUACGUAGGGGGCAAGCGUUAUCCGGAUUUACUGGGUGUAAAGGGGGCGCAGACGGCAGCGCAAGCCAGGAGUGAAAGCCCGGGGCCCAACCCCGGGACUUCUCUUGGAACUGCGUGGCUGGAGUGCAGGAGGGGCAGGCGGAAUUCCUGGUGUAGCGGUGAAAUGCGUAGAUAUUAGGAGGAACACCAGUGGCGAAGGCGGCCUGCUGGACGACAACUGACGGUGAGGCGCGAAAGCGUGGGGAGCAAACAGGAUUAGAUACCCCAGUA
rnacentral:rRNA from 1 species